UACGAAGGGGGCUAGCGUUGUUCGGAAUUACUGGGCGUAAAGCGCACGUAGGCGGAUCGAUCAGUCAGGGGUGAAAUCCCAGAGCUCAACUCUGGAACUGCCUUUGAUACUGUCGGUCUAGAGUAUGGAAGAGGUGAGUGGAAUUCCGAGUGUAGAGGUGAAAUUCGUAGAUAUUCGGAGGAACACCAGUGGCGAAGGCGGCUCACUGGUCCAUUACUGACGCUGAGGUGCGAAAAGCGUGGGGGAGCAAACAGG
rnacentral:rRNA from 1 species